CCCUUAGAUGUUCUGGGCUGCACGCGCGCUACACUGAUGCAUGCAACGAGUUUUCGACCUUGCCUGAAAAGGUUGGGUAAUCUGUUUAACAUGUGUCGUGAUGGGGAUAGACCAUUGCAAUUAUUGAUCUUCAACGAGGAAUUCCUAGUAAGCGCGAGUCAUCAGCUCGUGCUGAUUAUGUCCCUGCCCUUUGUACACACCGCCCGUCGCUCCUACCGAUUGAAUGAUCCGAUGAAUAUCAUGGAUUGAGGAUGCAAGUAGGUUCACCUAUCUUCAUCUUCGAGAAGUGAAGUAAAUCUUAUCAUUUAGAGGAAGGAGAAGUCGUAACA
rnacentral:rRNA from 1 species